rnacentral:rRNA from 1 species
UACGGAGGGGGCUAGCGUUGUUCGGAAUUACUGGGCGUAAAGCGCACGUAGGCGGCUUUGUAAGUUAGAGGUGAAAGCCCAGGGCUUAACCCUGGAAUUGCCUUUAAGACUGCAUCGCUCGAAUUGUGGAGAGGUGAGUGGAAUUCCGAGUGUAGAGGUGAAAUUCGUAGAUAUUCGGAAGAACACCAGUGGCGAAGGCGACUCACUGGACACAUAUUGACGCUGAGGUGCGAAAAGCGUGGGGGAGCAAACAG